rnacentral:rRNA from 1 species
UACGUAUGGGGCAAGCGAUAUCCGGAUUUACUGGGUGUAAAGGGAGCGUAGGCGGCCUGGCAAGCCUGAUGUGAAAUACCGGGGCCCAACCCCGGGGCUGCAUUGGGAACUGCCAGGCUGGAGUGCCGGAGAGGCAGGCGGAAUUCCUAGUGUAGCGGUGAAAUGCGUAGAUAUAUGGAAGAACACCAGUGGCGAAGGCGGCUCUCUGGUCUGUAACUGACGCUGAGGCUCGAAAGCGUGGGUAUCGAACAGG